rnacentral:rRNA from 1 species
AGUGAACGCUGGCGGCAUGCCUUACACAUGCAAGUCGAACGGCAGCACAGUAAGAGCUUGCGCUUACGGGCGGCGGGUGGAGGACGGGUGAGGAAUACAUCGGAAUCUACUGUUUCGUGGGGGAUAACGUAGGGAAACACACGCUAAGACCGCAUACGACCUACGGGUGACAGCAGGGGAUCUUCCGACCGUGCGCGACUGAAUGAGACGAUGUCGGAUUAGGGAGUUGGUGGGGUAAAGGCGUACCAAGGCGACGGUCCGUAGCUGGUCUGAGAGGACGACCAGCCACACUGGGACUGAGACACGGCCCAGACUCCUACGGGAGGCAGCAGUGGGGAAUUUUGGACAAUGGGCGCAAGCCUGAUCCAGCCAUGCCGCGUGGAUGAAGAAGGCCUUCGGGUUGUAAAGUGCUUUUGUUCGGAAAGAAAAGCCGCAGGCUAAUACCGAGCUUUUAUGACGGUACCGAAAGAAUAAGCACCGGCUAACUACGUG